CCUUACAAAAUUUCUUGCUUUUCUUUUCAAAUUCAGAUCUGAAAUAUGAAGAUCUAAACUUCAAAUCCUCAAAUGAAAAAUCCAAAAAGAAAAAAAAAAUCAGAAAAGCAGUUUACUGUUCCAUUGGUUCCCAUAGGUGAUCUUUAUAUUCAUGGACAUUGAAAGUAGUUUAGAGACUUUGUCAAAUCAUCACUGCACAUUUCUAGUAGCUGAAGGGGCCAUUGGAUCACUUGGUUUCAGUUUCGAGUGUGUGUGAAUGGAUUUGAGUUGAUUGUUAGUUAAAUCUGGUGAAUCAGAGUGAUUUAUAAUGUUCCCAGUCCAGUUUUGAUUAAGUUCACUAUGGUUUUGGAUUGAUUCUCAUUCUAUCUAGAUAUUCUGAUCAUGGUUUAUCCUUGAAUUGGUCUUGUGGGUUGUUGCUGAUUGCUGCUAUACUGUUACGUGUUUUAACUGCUGCCGACUCUUUCUUGUUCCUCAUUCUGUUUGACAUCCAGGUACACAAUCCCUGUUGACUGUAAAUUGAACGUGUGAAGAUUGAAUCUAUAUGAAAGGGAAGCCUAACUUUACUGUUAUCAUUGUUUUCCUUGUUUUAGUUUCGCUUGAACUGGACUGUAAAAUUGAAUCUUAGCCUGAACUCAUGUUUGGUAGUUAAGUGUUGUAAUUAAGCUUAGAC
rnacentral:lncRNA from 1 species